AUGUGUCCUUUUGGGCAUCUCCAAAUGUUCUUUUGGGAAUCUCCAAGUGUGAUUUUGGAGAGCCCAAAGUGGCAUUUUGGGUAUCUACAGGGUCCUUUUGGGCAUAUCCACGUAUCAUUUUGGGCAUCUCCAAGUGUCCUUUUGGGCAUCUCCAGGAUCCUUUCAGAGAUCUCCAAGUGUCCUUUUGGGCAUCGCCAAGUGUCCUUUUGGGCAUCGCCAAGUGUCCUAUUGGGCAUCUCCAGGGUCCUUUUGGAGAUCUCCAGGUGUCAUUUUUGGAAUCUCCAAGUGUCACAUUUUUGGCAUCUCCAGGGUCCUUGUGGGCAUCUCCAAGUGUCCUUUUGGGCAUCUCCAAGUGUCCUUUUGGGCAUCUCCAAGGUCUUUUUGGGCAUCUCCAGGGUCCUUUUGGAGAUCUCAAAGUUUCCUUUUGGGCAUCGCCAAGUGUCCUUUUCACCAUCGCCAAGUGUCCUUUUGGGCUUCGCCAAGUGUCCUUU
rnacentral:lncRNA from 1 species